rnacentral:rRNA from 1 species
UACGUAGGGUGCAAGCGUUGUCCGGAAUUAUUGGGCGUAAAGAGCUCGUAGGCGGUUUGUCGCGUCUGCUGUGAAAACCCGAGGCUCAACCUCGGGCCUGCAGUGGGUACGGGCAGACUAGAGUGCGGUAGGGGAGAUUGGAAUUCCUAGUGUAGCGGUGGAAUGCGCAGAUAUCAGGAGGAACACCGGUGGCGAAGGCGGGUCUCUGGGCCAUAACUGACGCUGAGGAGCGAAAGCGUGGGGAGCGAACAGG